rnacentral:rRNA from 1 species
AUGGUUGCAACCAUAAUGGCUUCAAGUGAAAGGCUUGUUGUUGUCAUUGAGAAACUAGCUAGCAACGCUAACCUCACCACUGGUGGCCUUUGGGAUGAGAUGAAAGAACUGCUGGCUUUGAUGUGGAUUUCCUUGCUCAUUACUAUGCCUAUUUGGUUGACAAUCCUCGUGUUGCAACGACAUUCAAGGUCUUGGGGGAUGUUCAAAGAAAGGUUUGGACCUCUAGGUAUGUGA